rnacentral:rRNA from 1 species
AUUUUAUUGGUUUAAAUUGCGUAUGAAGAUAAUGAUUAAUAGGGACAGUUGGGGGGUAUUCAUAUUGGGUGGUUAGCGGUGAAAUGCUCGGAUCCAUUCAAGAUGAACUAAAGCGAAAGCAUUUACCAAGGAUGUUUUCAUUAAUCAAGAACGAAAGUUAAGGGAUCGAAGACGAUUAGAUACCGUCGUAGUCUUAACUAUAAACUAUGCCGACCAGGGAUAUGAGUUGUUAGGAAUAUAUGAAAAUAUAUUCAAUUUCUUCUUAUGGACCUUGUGAGAAAUCAUAAGUUUUUGGGUUCUGGGGGGAGUAUGGUCGCAAGGCUGAAACUUAAAGGAAUUGACGGAGGGGCACCACCAGGAGUGGAGCGUGCGGCUUAAUUUUGACAACACGGGGAAAAACUUACCAGGUCCAGACAUUAGAAGGAUUGACAGAUUGAUAGCUCUUUCAUGAUUUGAUGGGUGGUGUGCAUGGCCGUUCUUAGUUGGUGGAGUGAUUUGUCUGGUUAAUUCCGAUAACGAACGAGACCUUUACCAUACUAACUAG